GGUGGUGAUGAUAUAUCCUAUGUUUUGAGGUGCAGUUGGUACCAAGUUCCUGUUUACAGGAAGAACCUACUUGGUACUACUGCAUCAUAUAUGAGAUUAUUGGAUUUUCUGAGCC